rnacentral:lncRNA from 1 species
AUACAUACAAAAAAUAUUACAUAUAUACAAAAAAUAAAACAUACAUACAAAAAAAUUUACAUAUAUAUACAAAAAAAUAUAUACAAAAAAUUACAUAUAUACAUACUAUAUAUACUAGAAAUAUAUACAAAAAAUUACAUAUAUAUAAAAAAAAUAUAUACAUACUAUAUAUAAUAUACAUACUAUAUAUAAUACUACA